rnacentral:rRNA from 1 species
UACAGAGGGUGCAAGCGUUGUUCGGAAUUAUUGGGCGUAAAGGGCGCGUAGGCGGUGCGGUAAGUCUGUAGUGAAAUCUCUGGGCUCAACUCAGAGUCUGCUGCAGAAACUGCCGUGCUUGAGUGUGGGAGAGGUGAGUGGAAUUCCCGGUGUAGUGGUGAAAUGCGUAGAGAUCGGGAGGAACACCAGUGGCGAAGGCGGCUACCUGGACCAGCACUGACACUGAGGCACGAAAGCGUGGGGAGCAAACAGG